AGCUUAUCCAGAGAGGUGGAGGGACUGGCCCUUUGAAGCCUCGGCAGCAGAUUCAUGGAGAAUACUGUGCCAACUCCAGCAGGCGUGAGUCUGGGAGAUAAGAA
rnacentral:ncRNA from 2 species